AUUGAACGCUGGCGGCAUGCCUUACACAUGCAAGUCGAGCGCCCCGCAAGGGGAGCGGCAGACGGGAGAGUAACACGUGGGAACGUACCCUUUGGUUCGGAACAACCCAGGGAAACUUGGGCUAAUACCGGAUAAGCCCUUACGGGGAAAGAUUCAUCGCCGAAGCAUCGGCCCGCGUCUGAUUAGCUAGUUGGUGGGGUAACGGCCCACCAAGGCGACGAUCAGUAGCUGGUCUGAGAGGAUGAUCAGCCUCACUGGGACUGAGACACGGCCCAGACUCCUACGGGAGGCAGCAGUGGGGAAUAUUGGACAAUGGGCGCAAGCCUGAUCCAGCCAUGCCGCGUGGGUGAUGAAGGCCCUAGGGUUGUAAAGCCCUUUCGGCGGGGAAGAUAAUGACGGUACCCGCAGAAGAAGCCCCGGCUAACUUCGUGCCAGCCGCCGCAGUAAUAC
rnacentral:rRNA from 1 species